GCCCGGGUGGCUCAGUUGGUGAGGCAUCUGACUUCAGCUCAGGUCGUGAUCUCAUGGUCCGGGGGUUCGAGCCCCGCCUCAGGCU
rnacentral:tRNA from 1 species